AGAAAGACCGAAACCCACCCCUGCCACCGCUAGAGUCGCGGCUCUGUUGAUGACUUCUGGGAAGUGUUGGAAACAGGGCCUUAAAAAAAGAAUGGCGUCCAUUUACAUAAUGCUUUGUUUGCAUUUUGCAAGCAUCUUUCGGUUGAACCUACAGAAAUCCCACAGUGUCGUUUUAGUCGUGGCAGUCUCGACAGGCAUUUAGGACAAUGGUGUGCUCCUUUUGGGACCGCAUUUAGUCAGGGUUGCUGACUUAGUGCUUGGAGAAUUCUUGCGAUUUCCCCCCACACUCUUCACUUUCCCGCUUCUGCGUUUCGGCCUUUUCCCCGUUUCCCCUUUUGGUGCGAUCGCCUCGCCCCGCUCCCCUUGGGGGCGGCCCCUGUCGGGCCCCGCCAUCUUGGAAGGCCUUUCUUGCCGGUUCGCCACAGCACGUCCCUCUCGCCAAAGAAAGGUCGCUUGGGAGGCUCGUAUGAAUUCACUUAGGCCCAGAGAGAUGAAGUGACUAAUUCAAAGUCACACAGUGGAGGAUGGAUUCCAGACCUUCUGAUUUCCUUAUUGACCUGCAGUAUCUUGUGUAUACGUGAUUGAAUUCCACACCACCCAUUUUACAGAUGAAGCCACUGAGAUAUGGAACAAUUGACUAAAUAGUCACUGCCCCACCCCUGGAGCCUCACACAUGACUCUUCUCCUCCCAUUUGAAUGACUGCAGGUGAUCUCAACUUCUCUGACAGCUCCACUUAACCAUCUACACAUGGAUGAUGCCCAGAUCUUUCUAUGGACCACAGUAUCCAACUGCUCAUGUAGACAACAUCACAAGGAUGUUUUGCAUACUCGGCAAAAUGCAGCCUCCUGCUCUUCCCCACUUGCUCGUCAUCCAUUGUCCUCAUCACAUGUGAAAAGUGGUCUUGUCACUGUAAAUAUGGUGGUUGAGAAUGUGACUCUGAUACGAUGUGAUGUGAUAUGGAAUAUGAUUCUGGAGCCAGCCUGCUGGGGCCUGAAUUCGGACAUAACCACUUACUGUGUGACCUUGGGUAAGGAGACACAGAGAGAGAAGAUGUCCGUAUGAAGAUGGAAGCAGAGAUUGGAGUUGUGCUGCCACGAACCAAGGGAUGGCAAGGAUUACUGGCAACCACCAGAAGCUGGAAGAGACAAGGAAAGAUUCUCCUCUGGAGCCUUCAGAGGGAGCAUGACCCUGCUGAAACCUUGAUUUUGGACUUCCAGCCUCCAGAACAAUGAGAGAAUAAAUAUCUUUUGUUUGAAGUCACCCAAUUUGUAGUGUUUGUUACAGCAGCCCUGAGAAACCAAACAUGCUCUUUUAUCAUCUUCUUUUUCGAAUAAGGAAACAGGCCCAGAGAGGUUAGAUACUUUGAGAUCUCUGUAGGCCACUGCUCUGCUGGCUGGGCACUUACUCUGAAGCUCCUCAUGUUGCUGUUGUCAGCUCUGCACCACGACCAUUACACCUUUUGGUAGUGCUGGGGCUGAGCUGAAGGAAUGGCUCCUCCUCUAACACAGCAGGCCACAGCCCUUCCCCAUUCUUGCCUUCUUCACACCCUAAAGCAGAAACUCCUCUCAGGAGGCUUCUGACUGUAGCCUGAUCAUUUCCGCAGGUUGCUUCCCAGCCCCACUCCUCCAGGUGAUACCAGGCUUUUAUUAUUUUUUAAUUAAAAAAAAUUUUUUUAAAUGUUUAUUUUGAGAGAGCAUGAGCAGGGGAGGGGGCAGAGAGAGGAGACAGAGGAUCUGAAGCAGACUCUGUGCUGUCAGCAUGGAGCCCAACACAGGGCUCGAGCUCAUGAACCAUGAGAUCAUGACUUGAGCUGAAGUUGGACACUUAACCAGCUGAACCACCCAGGUGCCCCUGGGUUUAUAUUUUUCAUUUCCAUGCAGUGUUAGAGAAAUGUGGGUGACAUUUGGGGGGAGUGUCACUCAGUUUCUAACAGUUUUUAUGUUUCCCAUUUCUGGCCUGCUAUACUUCCUAGAACUCCUGUCAGUAGACGACUCAAGUCUUGGUGUGGAUUUUUGUUUUCGUUUUUGAGCUUCAGGAUAUCACACACAGCUCAAUUGGCACAUACCACAGUUCAUGGCUGUGAGCAGAGAAGGAGCAGCAUCAUGGCCACAUUGGCUCUGAGGGCCCUGGUCACCUGUUUUUGAUAAACCGAACAUACCACAGUGGCUCUGUCCUUUGCCAAAGUGAGUGGGGGAUAAGGAUGUUCUCUGACCCAGCCCAGCUACCUAAACAGCUCCUUAUUUGCCCAUGGUCUCUUUUGCUGGCAUCCCAGAAGGGAUCUCCUUCCUCAGCAUCUCAUUGCUGGCUGCAGAAUUUUGCCUAUUUUCCAAUUUGGACCUUUUGCUUUGGGUCCUGCUCUUACUCUUAACAACUCUCACUAGGCUGAGCUCCAGGAACUCAGGAACCAUAUUUGUUUUGUUUGCUGCUAUAUCCUAGGAAUGAGGAAAAACCUGGUACUUACUAGCCCCUCAAGAAAUGUAUAUUGAAUGAAGAAAUGAAACAAUAGUAAACACAAAAUAAGGAAAAUCCAGCGAAAUUCUGAUUUUUACCAUGAUGACUAAUUAGAUCAAUAUAAUUUGAAAUAUCUGUUUUUGUCUCUGCUUUUCCAGUUCUCUAAGCACAUGCUAUUGGAUAAUCCUGCCUGGAUCAGUCCUUUCCUCACCUUGGACUUCACCUUCUUUUCCUCUUUAUUCUAUCUGCUAAAGUUGCCAGCCAGCCUCUUUCACCCCAGAGGGGGAUCCGGCUCCUGAAAUCCCAGCCUAUGCUAGUGCCUCAUGCUUCCUGGGGGCUUGCCAAGAAAGUCAACUAUUACAUUGUGAAUGGAACAGAGAAAUUGAGCAGAUGUUCUUCCAGUAUUCAAAAAAUAUUACCUGAUUCAGUAAAGAAGUUGCUUAUACCAUUGACAAAGGAGUGAAGUUGCAACAUGUAUCUUCAUUGUUUCACUUUCAUUGUUUCAACCAAGGGCCUGUUGUUAUAUAUUUACCAGCACACCACUGGGCAAAUUGCCUUAGGCUGAGGAGAGACCAGAGACCAGAUUGGACGCUUUGGAAAGAUUCCCAGAAGAGGGAGGGACUCAUCGAUGGAAAGACGCUUCCAUCAAUGGAGAGAGGAGGGAUGGCUUGAAGACCUGAUGCCAUGCCCCACUGAAGCAGAGUGCCAGCAGCAGCUGUGGCCCCUGCUCCUAGGAGCUGUGCCACCCACCCUACACAUGCACACACCCACACCAACCCCAGGGCCCAGGCCUCAGCCUAGGCUGGGGGGGUUGUGCAGGAGUGGGGCAGGCAUUCGGGGCCCAGCUCAUGGUGCAGAGCGUGGGCUGGAGAGACCGGGUGCCAUCUUGGUCGCCCACAUCAGCAGAGGUGACUGCGUGGUAACCAGUGACCCAAGGGCGAGUGUGGAACAGGAAACAGGUAAGAGGGGCAGCUACACCAGCAUCGGUUCCGAUCAACACAUGAGGUCAGCCCGAGCCACACAAUCUGAAGUCUUCUCACAGAGCCUAAGUGCUCAAAACUUUUGGUCAGUGAAUUUUCCAUGAAAUUAAAAAGUCUGAUUAACACAUUUCUGGAAGUAGAAAGAAACCCCAAAAGGGCACAAAAUAACAGGAAGACCCAAAUUUAAUAAUGAAAUAAUUUAUUUGUGAACGGUGGAACGAUACAGAAGUUUACAUAUACACAGCAAAGAUUCUCUAAAACAUGUAGUAGUUCUAAAAAUGCAUGUGCUAACUGUAGUAAAAAGCACCAUUCUCUAGAUCUUGACACAGGAUUUACAUUGGCGUCAUAUUUACAUAAAGAAAUAAACAUCUGGAAACAGAAUUCCAUACUCUCUCAUCUGCUGCUCCCCUCUGUAGGCUGUGUUUACCAUUAGGAAGAUGGCCCCCAACACUGAUGGUUAACAGCAAUAUUCCCAGAGCACCAAUUCUAGGGACGGGGGGUAAAGGCAAGUUUGGUUCUCAGGUAAAAGCUAAACUGAAGAAUGCCCCAUUAAGUCACCACCCCCCAUAGAGUAAGAAAUCAAACUUAAAAAUGUGGAUAAAUCUUGGAAUUGGGUGCCUUACUAAUUCUCAUUUUAUGAUUUUGAGACAAGACCAAGAUACUCAAUUUCUUCAGCCAUUUAAUAGCUGACUCAGGCAGUGCCAGGCAGUGUCGUCUUCUUUCAGAAGAAUGUAGUAUAAGAAAAUCAUCCAUGUAAUAAAUAUUAAUGAAGAAAUCAUGAUAAGUCACAUAUAGUACACACACCCCUCCCCACCCCCAGAUAUCUUUGCAAACAAAAUAUCCCAUAGUCACAGAGAUCUGAAUGAGAAAAGCCACCCCCCCUCUAAAAGGGUCUUUGGGUCAUCUUCUCCCAGAAAGGAUUUUAAAACUCAGUAGCCAGCUACCUAAGCUUACUGCAUCCAAGAGUUAGACAUACACACACACAAAAAACAGAUUGACCUGCAGGAAAUCACCUUGCAGCCAUUGACUUCCUGGGGUUCAACACUCAGGGCAGGUAAAGGAGGAAGCUUGAGGAGCAAGGGGAGGAGGAAGAGAAGAUAGAUUCAGGAAUACGUCAUAAAGCAUAAUGAAAGUGGUAUUCUUGCCAAUAUGGCAUGGUAUAAAAGCCUAAAUAAUGUGUAUAUGCUGUCUAAAAAUAGUUUUUUUCUUUAAAGGAUGGGGCAGAGGCAAGAAGAAAAAAAGCCCAUAAUACCCAUAGUGAGCCCCAAGACUCCACUUGACCAUUACUUGAGCAUCACCAUCCUAGGUUGACAAUUUUUCCCCCUGCACCCCAGCAUUUGCUCUUGGCCACUUAAGGGACGGAUCAGAGAGGCCCAUAGGAAACCCAGGUAAGGACUCUGUUUCUUUUUUUCUUUUUUUUUUUUUUUUUUUUUUAGAGGCGAAAAGAAAAUGCUUCCUUUAAAAACUAAAACCA